UCGAGAACCUCUAAUUCGUUGUUGCAAAUUGAGAGAGAGCGACAAUAGAAUUAGUAGUUAGUAAUUUUUGUUUAACUGGAAAUAAAUAAAAUUCGGGAAAUUAAUAUUCUAUCCUCUUUUGGAACUUGUUGUACAAAAAUUUCAUACAUUUUUUUUUUUGCUUCUAAAUUGAUGUUUAUUUGGCCAAAGGAAGAUAGAUAAAAUUUCAAGUGUUAAAACAAAAAAAGGAAAAAAAUAAAAAAAAAAAAAAACAAUUAAGUGACACUCCGUUUUGUCUCUUCUUCGUCGUCUUCGUCAUCAUCAUCAUCAUCGGGAACGCAGCAAAAGCCCGUCAACAACUAUUUAAAAGAGAGUAGAAGAGUGCUGCUCUCUUUGCCCCACUGCGACUGCGACCGCGCGAGAGAGUGAGAGAUAUUCGUACGGUAACUCUGAUUCUCAUUCACACACAAUAUCAAUUUUGAUAAGCCAAAAACGUAACAAAAGCCGCAGGCGAAAAGGCAAGUGCGCUGAAAAAACAAAACGGAAAGAAUUUCGGAAAAAAAAGAAUAUUUAAA